rnacentral:rRNA from 1 species
UUAAGUCAGAUGUGAAAGACCCGGGGCGUUAACCUCGGAAUUAGCAUUUGUAAACUAGGCAGGCUAGAGUCUUGUAGAGGGGGGUAGGAAUUUCAGGUGUAGCGGUGAAAUGCGUAGAGAUCUGAAGGAAUACCAGUGGCGAAGGCGGCCCCCUGGACAAAGACUGACGCUCAGAUGCGAAAGCGUGGGGAGCAAACAGGAUUAGAUACCCCUGGUAG